rnacentral:misc_RNA from 1 species
GGAUAUACGGCAAUUUUUCAGAGGUCUCUCAAUACCGGAUGGAGGUGUUCACAUUGUUGGUGGUGAAAUGGGCGAUGCUUUUAUCGCAUUCAGCGUUUAACGAACGCGUUAGAUCAAUUGAGUCAUUCUAGUUUGGCUGAGAAUUAUGAAAUAAAUAAAUGGACUGUAAAAAAGGUUAUGUCGAAAAGGUAAGAGAAAAUGUUCGUCUAUUGUGACGAUAUACUUGUCUUGAAAGACGACGAUAUAUUACCCUUAAACUAAAAACUCUAAAGAUUAAAACUUUACAAGAGAAUUAAAAA